UGUAAAUAACCUGAAAGACCUUUGCUUAUUCAUGAUUUUCUUUUCCAGCCAUUAAAUCAGAUUUCAUUUCAGCAUAAAAUCAAUAACAAAGGUGUGAAAAGUUGUCUGACAGUAGCAUCUGGUUGUUAAAGACACAAUUCAAGUUUCUUUCUUUCUGACAGUAUAAUGCCACAUUCAGUUGUGCUCAUUCUGUCAACAUUACAGUGAAUGCUAUUCAAUUCAAUUGUAGGCACAUUGGUAGAUGGGCAGACGUGGUGUGCAAUUGACUUUAACAGUUGGAUCCAGCCAGUGGAAGAUGAGACAACAACCUCAAGAGAUAGAGCUUGAGUGAAAUACUGCCAAGUUUCAUUAGAUUCAGGUUGGCGGGCUGCAGCAUCAAAUGUAUAGACAGGCAGACAGACAGACAGACAUACUUUAUUGAUCCCGAGGGAAAUUGAGUUUCGUUACAGUCGCACCAACCAAGAAUAGUAUAGAAAUAUAAUAAUAUAAAUCCAUAAAUAAUUAAAUAAUAAUAAGUUAAUUAUGCCAAGUGGAUAUGCCAAGCUGCAAAGACAUUACCUAUAUGGAUUGGACAAUCUCUAGUUGCUAGAUCCAGCAUUAUUUAAGGAUCAAGGAUCAACUUCAUAUGUCAUAUACACAUACCAGGAAUUUGCUGUGGAGUGUUGGUCAGGACACGAUGUGCAACAAAAACAUCUUUUAACAAUUAUAACUAAUUAUUAAAAUAAUAAAGAUAUAUAUAUAUAUCAAAUUCUUCAUUAUUUAAUAAUUCUUAUUUCUACACACUGACAGUAGUGACCACUUUAUCAGGUAUAGGAGGCAUUAUAAAGAGCGGUUAAAACUGCUCUCAAUGCAGUGCAGUGUUGGGGGGUAAAACGUAGAUGGGAUUGGGAGGGCAAAUUAGAAUAGUUGAUCAGAUUAACUGCCAGGGAAAGAGGAGUGAGAAGCUUUUGAAAGUUAUAGCACUUUCCAAAAGGGAGCUUUUAGAAAAGGCAGUUUGCUGGAUGGGUGGCAUCCUGCCUGCUUCUUUGUCUUGGGCACAUACUAGUCCUGCUGAGACAGCCAGUGAACUUCUCUGCAGUUUGCUGCAUUUUUCAUAUAUUGUGAGAGGAUGCUGCAAUAAACCAGACAGCAAUGUCUGAUGUUAGCCAAUAUAGUGGUGGAAUCAGUCAAGGACAGUGGAAGCAGACAAAUAUUUUUAAUGAUAGGGGUCUGCUAUUUUGUGAGGCUGUUCUUGCAGUUGCCAUUAUGCACUGGCAUUUGCUGAGGAAUCUCUGGGUCAGAGCAAUUUCUAACAAGUCCCCUACUGAAACCGAGAUUAUUUCCAAAUAAAGAGUAUUUUGUGAUUUGUUGUGUUAUGGUAAGAUUGAAACUGAAGGUUUAUGAAAAGAGUAAUAAGCCAGUAACUGGUUGGCCUGGCUGAGCAGGUUUGAACUGGCCUGACUCAGUGCAGAACAAACAAAGGAACAUGACGUAACACACCCAAAAUGCCGGGAGCACUCAGUAGGUCAGGCAGCACCUAAGAAAAAUAAUGAGUUUGGGCUGAGACCUUUCUUCAGGACUAAAAAGGAAGGGGAAAGAUGCCAGAGUAAAAAGGUGGGGGGGGGGGUAGGAGGAUAGAUAGAAGGUGAUAAGUGAAACUAAGUGGGUGGGAAAGGUAAAGAGCUGGAGAGGAAGGAAUCUGAUAGGAGUGGAAAGUGGAUGACAGAAGAAAGGGAAGGAAGAUGGGACCCAGGGGGAAAUGAGAGGCAGGUGAGAAGAGGUAUAAGACUAGAGUGGGGAAGAAGAGGGGAGGGGGAGAGAAUAAAUAUUAUGAGCAGAAGCAAUCGAUGUUCACACCAUAAGGUUGGGACUAUCAAGACGGAAUACAAGGCAUUUCUCCUGCACCCUGAUGGUGGCCUUAUCUUAGCACAAGUCUGAACAGGAAGCGGAAUCUGAAUUAAAGUGGAGGUCAAUAGAUCUUUGAUUAGUCAGGGAAAGGGCAGAAAACUGAGGUUGAGCAAGAAAAUAAAUUAGUCAUGAUAAAAUAGCAGAGCAAACCAGUGGAUUGAAUGGCCCAAUUUCGUUUUUUAGAUGUCUAAUGUUCUUAUGGUCUUAAAGUGCUUGUCUUACUUGUCCUCAUCAGUCAGGGUAUUGAAAAGAAGAGGUGAAAGAUCAUGUUACAGCUAUACAAGGAGGGCUCCAAUAUGGAGCUCGUUACAGGAUACAGAUGGCAUUGAUCAUAGCUAAAUACCUGUAAAGACCGAACUGCCCAUGUUUGAGGAUAUUAGCAUGCAGAAGUAGAAUGAAUAACUUGACUAAUCAUUAAAGUCACUGCAUCUACCAUUGGGAAGGAGGUAAAGGAGCCUUCGGUCCCACACUACCAGGUUCAUGAACAGUUAUUACUCUUCAAAUAUCAGACUCCUGAACCAGCAUGGAUAACUUCAUCCAGCUCAACAUUAAACUGAUUCCACAACCAAAGGACUCUACAACUCAGGCUCUUAUAUUUAUUUACUCUUUUUUUGCACUAUUUGUCUUCUUUUGCACAUUGGUUGUCAUUCUUUAUUUUUGUAAAGUUUAUCAUAAAUUCUGUUGUAUUUCCUUACUUUCCUGUAAAUGCCUGUAAGAAAAUGAAUCUCAAGGUAGAAUAUAGUGAUAUAUAUGUACUUUGACCAUAAAUUUACUUUGAAACUUCGGUAUAAUUUACAUUGGUUCCACGCUCAAUCUUCCACCUUCACUCUCAUUCAUUCAGGUCCCAACUUGAAACUUCUUGUACUGAAGUUUUAUAGUGACAAAUUGCUUUCAUUAUGUAAAGUGGUGCCGCAGGUAGAUAGGGUCAUAAGGAAAGCUUUUGGCACAUUGGCCUUCAUUUCCCAAAGUAUUGAAUACAGGAGAUGGAACUUUAUGUUUAAGUAAUAUGAGACAUUGGUGAGUCCUAGUUUGCAGUAUCGUGAGCAGUUUGGCUACCUACCUACAGGAAAGAUGUAAGUAAACUUAACAGAGUACCAAGAAAAUUUACAAGGAUGCUGCCAGUUCUGGAGGACCUGAGUUAUAUGGAAAAAUUGGAUAGGUUAGGACUGUAUUUUUUAGACACAGAAGAUUGAGAGGAGAUUUCAUAGAGGUAUACAAAAUUAUGAGGAGUAUAGAUAGAGUAAAUGCCAGUAGACUUUUUCCACUGAGGUUGGGUGAGACUACAACCAGAGGUCAUUGGAUAGGGGUGAAAGAUGAAAAGUUUAAGGGGAACAUGAGGGGAAGAUUUUUCACUCAGAGGGUUGUGAGAGUGUGGAAGGUGCUGCCAGUGCAGGUGGUACAUAUGAGCUCCAGUUCAAUGUUUAAGAGAACUUUGCACAGGUACAUGGAUGGUAGGGGUAUGGAGGGCUAAGGUGUCUGUGCAGGUUUAUUGGGGUAGGCAGUUUAAAAUGUUUCAGCACAGACUAGAUGGGCUGAACGAUCUAAUUCUGCUCUGUAAUUCUAUCACUCAAUUUAUUAGCCAGACAAGAGAAUUAUGUUAGUCAACAUAUUUUCUUAACAUUGUUUACCCAUAUCAGUGAUUCCUUCUCUUGGUUGCAGCUGUGACACAGAGGGUAAUGUUCUCUGGGUCAGAAGGUGGACAGUUCAAUUCCCACUCUGGAGACUGAAGCACAAUACUCUGGGCAGGACUAAAUGAAUGUUGCUCUUUCAGAUGUAUCUCCUUUUGGAAUGCUUUGCUUACCCUGAAAAACUUCAUCUUAUCUAUACCUCUCAUAAUUCAACAAGACAGUCCUAAUGAGGGGUCUUGGACUGAAACUUCAAUUGUUUGCUUAGAUGCUGCCUGAUCUGCUGAGUUUCUCCAGCAUCAUGUGUGCAUUGUUCUGGAUUUUCAGCAUCUGCAGAAUCACUUGUGCUUAUGAAUCAUCACUUUGUUGUUUCUGGGAGCUCACUCUAAACUCUGGCUGCUGUAUUUCCUCCAUAAUGACCAUGACGAUAUUACAAUGAGCACACCAUUAACAGUAAAUUACUAUGGAUGUCUGAAAAUUGCUGGAUAUCUUAAAGACCAUUUUUUCUUUAAUUAAUCUUUGAAUCCAUUCAUCCCACAAAGCACCAAUGAAUUUUUAAGAUGUUAGAAUUAUUUUAAUAGUUUGAAAGCACUAUGUUGCAAUGACACAACUUCUGUCCGACACAAAAUUAUGUCACUUGACUAUAACGUUAUUUAGGUAAACAUGGUGCACAACUAUGAUCGUUAUUGUUCUGGCAGCAAUUCAGACAGUAAGAGCUAUUUUACAAAACACCACUGGCAUUCAAUUCAUUAUUGAGGCAAAACAUUGACAGGGGCUUCACAUUUCCUGUAGAAAGACUAGUAAACUGCCGAAGACUCUAGCAAAUUUCUACAAGUACCAUGGAGAGCAUUCUAUCUUGUUGCAUCACCAUCUGGUAUGGCAAGGCUACUGCACGGGAUUGGAAAAAACUGUAAACUCAGCCAGCUCCAUCGUGGGCACUGGCCUCCCCAGCAUUGAAAGGCGAUGCCUCAUAAAGAUGCCUCAUCAAUCAUUAGGGACCCCCACUAGCCAGGACACGCCAUCUUCUCAUUGCUACCAUCAGAAAGGAGGUACAGGAGCCUGAAGACACACACUGAACAUUUUAGGAAUAACAUCUUCCCCUCCACUAUUAGAUUUCUGAAUGAAGCAUGACCAUGAUCAUGACCUCACUCUUUUGCUCUCUUUUUCCACCACUUAUUUUUUAUAUUUCUCGUCAUAUUUUUAAUAUACUGUACUGCUGCCACAAAACCAUAAAUUUCAUGACGUCUCAGUGAUAAUAAACCUGAUUCUGAUUUUGAAAGAUGGCACUAAACAACCUGUACAAAAACCAAAGGAAUGGAAAUUGCUGGAAGAACUACCAACUGCAAUCAAUACACAGCUUCUGGUAAUCAGCUCAGAAUCAGAAAGUUUGCAACUUUCAGGCAAAUGUUCUUUCCUGAUUACUUUUUGAAAUGGAGACCAGGUGUAGAUCACAAUUCUCUGCAGUUUCAUUGGAGAAUCUGCCCGUUGAACUGGCACCAUUUCAGUAGAAUUUAGUCACUAUUUUAUGUCAUUUUAAAACUGAUUCACUUUACUUAAAACGAUCAUUCAAAAGUAUUCAGAAAUUUGACUGGCUCAAAAGCCAGGAAAAGCCAAAGGCCAUAGGACUGUCAGAUAUAGGAGUAGAGUUAGGCCAUUCGGCCUAUUCGGUGAAGUCUAUUUCACCAUCCAAUUAAUGCUGAUUUUUUUUCCAACCCCAUUCUCCCACUUUCUCAGUAUAAUCCUUAACAAUUAAGAACCUAUCAAUUUCUGCUUUAAAUACACACAUUGACUUGGCCUCCACAAACAUCUGUGACUCCCUCACACACUGUCUACUAGCUUUCUCGAUUUGUGAACUAACCUCCCCUCUCCUAGUCUCUUCAAUUUGAUUCCCACCCCCAAACCAUUCUAGUUUAAAGUCUCCCCAGUAGCCUUUGCAAUCUCCCUGCCAGGAUAUUGGUCCCCCUAGGAUUCAAGUCCUUUUUGUACAGGUCACAUCUGCCCCAAAAGAGGUCCCAAUGACCCAGAAAUUUGUAUCCCUGCGCCUUGCUCCAAUCACUCAGCCAGGCAUUUAUCCUCCGCCUCAUUCAAUUCCUACUCUCACUGUUGCGUGGCACAGGCAGUAAUCCCAAGAUUACUACCUUUGUGGUCCUUCUUCUCAACUCCCUAUAUUCUCCUUUCAGGACCUCUUCCCUUUCCCUACCUAUGUCAUUGGUACCUUAUAUGUACCAUGACCUCUGGCUCCUCACCCUCCCACUUCAGGAUAUCUUGGAUGCAAUCGGAAGCAUCCCGGACCCUGGCACCAGGGAGGCAAACUACCAUCCGGGUCUCCUGACUGCAUCCACAGAAUUGCCUAUCUGACCUCCUAACUAUCGAGUCCCCUAUUACUACUGCCUUCCUCUUCCUUUCCCUACCCUUCUGAGCUACAGGGCCGGAUUCUGUGCCGGAGUCACGGCCACUGUUGCUUCCCCCAGACAGGGUCUUCCCCCCCCCCCCCCCCCCAACAGGAGUACUUAUUGUCAAGGGGUACAGCCACUGGGGUACUCUCUAAUACCUGAUUCUUCCCCUUCCCCCUCCUAACCAUGACCCACUCGUCUGCCUCCCAUGGCCCCUGCCUGUAACUCCUAUCAACUCCUCACUCGUCUUGACCAGACGAAGGUCAUCGAGCUGCAGUUCCAGUUCCCUAACACAGUCCCUUAGGUGCUGCAGCUCGGCGCACCUGGCACAGAUGUGGACGUCCGGGAGGCUAGGAGACUCCAGGGCGUCCCACAUCCGACACUGAGAACAACAAGCUGCCCUCACACUCAUAAUUCCCCCUUUCCUCAAAUAACAGGAAAAAUAACAGGAAUAAUAUAUUUUAUUCCCAGACUAGUCGACUUCUGACAAACUAAAACCAGCAGAUUCCUGCAGUACAAUAAUAACUUAAUUAUAGACUUCUUUUCCUUUGUGAAACAUUAUCUCUAUAAAGAUCUUUAUAAAUAUUUACCGUUCAGCUGUUUUUAAAGAUAAAAUUCCAACAGCCUUCUUUCUGAUAAACGCAAUGACAAACCUAAGUCUAAUGUUUCCAACCCCAUUAAAAGACUUUUCCACACUGCACAUGCUCAGAAUGCUGCAUGCUGGGAUUUGUAAACAGAUCUGAUCUGGAAAGCUCUGCAGAGAAUGUGACCUUCAGUCCUAAACUUUCACAAAGUUAGGCUUCUAAUAGAAAAUUUUUCAUGAAAGCACUUGCUAAUUCUGAAAACAAAUUUGUUACAGGAUAUCUGAUUUCAAAAUCUUUGAAGUACAGGUCAUUCGACCGUACUGCUAAAUGAAAUUAUGUCCAAGGUGCACAAUGUAAUACAUAAAAUCACAUACAUAACAAACAAAGUAAUAAUACCACAAAUAAAUUAUCAAAUAAUAAGAUGCAUAUGCAAGUUAAGAAGUAAACAGUAUAACACUACUAGCACUUCAUACGUGAUGAGAAUUUUCAGAAAUUGAGAUUUGAAAUCAUACGUGGAAACCUGAAAGAAAAUUAAAUCUUUUCAACUCGAGAAAGACAAGGACUGGAUAUAAACACCUGCACAAACACAGACCAAAUUAAUAUUUAUUUUUUUAUUCACUUUCUUUCAGCAUUUCAUGAUCAGGGAUCCAAAUAAGUUACAUUAACUUAUUGAUGCUGUAAUUGUGAUAAUUGUAUUCAAGCAUAAAAUAUGUUGAAAUAAUUUAAUUUAUCACUUUGUUUGAAUUAAUUUAAAUAGUCCUUCAGGAGUUAUCAUAGUCUGUGCAAAUUGUAAUAUACUGUAUAAGUUUGAAUGAAUGUUAAUGCCAGGUACGGUUAAUGGAAUCAUGAGAUCAUAGAAGUGCAUUACUGAACAAAUAUGAGAUGCUUUCACAGCCCAUAGAUAGUUUCUUCCUAUAAUGGGCAUUGGAAAUUGUUGACAUGAGGUUGCUGGACGAGUGGUUGUACAGUCAUUUUACAAGUACCAGGAGACUUUAGUCAUAAACACAAACAAAAUCUGGUUUAAGAAUACACUAGCUGACAAAAAAACCAAGUAGGAAUUUAGGACCCGAAUUUAAGUUGCCUUCAUUUGCUUAGUAGCCCAGACAGAGUUACGUUUUCACCUGGUCUAUAAAUUAGCUCUGCUUGCCUGAUUAUUUCCUUCCUAUUUAAGAAGGCUUCCUUAGGUGAUUUGUUAGAAUGAUAGACAUCAUUGAAAUGAAUGGCACAGAAGCCAAGCCCUUUCAGCCCAGCUUCUCCAAGCUGACCACUGUGCCUCUCAAUGUCUAUACCAUUAGGCUUGUACUAACCCAUUUUAAAUGGUGUAUCUACCUCCAAUGUCUCUCUUGUUGUUCCAAAUGUUCACCACCUUUUGUGUGUAAAAAACAGUUUACCCCUCACUUGCUCAAAAUUAUAAGACAGGCAUAUCAGGGUUUCUUGCUUCAGUGGUUAUUGUAGAUGCUUGUUAGAAGAACAUCUGACAUUAAAGUGCAGACUGUAAAUUCAGUAAAUAGCUAUUACUUACUUGAACCCUGUACCUUGUCUUUAUCUGUUCAAACUACCGUGGGGCGCUGUGCAUUGUGUUCCCCUAACCUAACCCCUUGAUAUUAUGAGCUUCUUUUUGAAAGGGUAGCCUGCUUACCAAAUCUUCACAUCAUUCCAUGAACUGGCAUUAAGCAAUGUAAUUAACAGAUUGAAUUGCAUUGAUUUGCAGGUUAAGAACUGACAACAAGCUUAGAAAUGUCAACCUUUAUACUUUAGACUGUCUACCCACUCACUUUGUUAUGGCUUCACAGCUCUCAAUGACUACUCCCUACACAAAUUAGAAAAAAAACUAGUGCUUCCUCUGUUGCUGUUCCUUACUUUGAUGUGGCAAACAGCUUUCAUCUCGUGGGAUGGCUUUGUGAAUCAUAAUAUUAUUUCAGAUCUGAUCAGAAGUGUCCCUUUCUACCAUAAAUCAUGGAUUAGGACUAAUUUAAAUCGGACCACAAAAUCCAGAACAAAGGGAAGCACCACCGGGAGAACUCCCCGUGGCUUGAUUGCCCAUCUAUACCUACAGUUUGCAGCUGGGAAUAUCUGCAAAGCCAGUGGCAGACUGAACAUAAACAAACCAAUGUAUGUGAAAUAAAUCAUUUUCAUCUCUUCUUCCAAAUACAGCCCUCACAGCUCAAAUGGCAGUGUAGACACAAGGUGACCAAAAGGAACUCUGCUGGUGGGCAGAGCAGACACUGAAUUCCCACCUAACAAUGUCUAUGCCUGAUAAAUUAUUUCCUUCCCACUGUGUUGCUCAGAGCUUUCAGGUUACAGGAGGAGCUACAGAUAGUCAACUAGUUCCAGCCUUAGCUUAAGGUCACCCUUGGGUACUUGACCAAAGUUCUACAAAAGCUGAUUAUCUAUUGAAAAGUAUGGAAAAUGCAAAGAUAUUCAGCAGGCCAGGCAGCAUUUGUGGAUAGAGAUAUGGAGAUAGCAUUUUGGGCCACUAGUUUUUCACCAGAACUUGUGCUGAUAAAAAGUUAUUAACUCGAGAUGCUAAUUAUGUUUCCAUCUCCACAGAUGCUGUCUGAUACACUGAAUAUUUCCAGUAUAUUUAUGUACUCAUGAGUGAUGGGUGCAUGGAAUGCCUUGCCAGAGGCAGAUACAUUAGGGAUAUUUAAACUCUUAAAUAGGCACAUGGGUGAUAGAAAACUGGAGGGCUAUGUAGGAGGGAAGUGUUAGAUUGAUCUCAGAGUAGGUUUUAAGGUCAACACAACAUCGUGGGCUGAAGGGGCUGUACUGUGCUGUGAAGUUAUAUGUUCUGUGUUCUGACUCUAUUUCUGAUUUACAGUCAGACUCUCAUAGAGCAUGGAGACAAGUCCUUUGGCCCAAUACAUCUACGCCAGCCAAGAUUCCAACCUAAGCUAGUCCCAUUUGCCUGAGGUUGUUCCAUAUCUCUCAAAACCUUUCCUAUCUAUAUACUUGUCCAAGUAGCUUUAAAAAUGUUGUUAACAUACCUGCUUCAAUGACUUCCUCUGGCAGCUUGUUUUAUAUACGGACCACCCUAUGUGUGAAAAGUUAACCCGCAGCAUCUUAUUACCUUUCUCAUCCCUCACCUUAAUCAAGUGCCCUCUAGUUCUUGAUUUCCCAACCCUGGGUUGCAAAAGAUUGUGUGUAUUCACCGUCCCUUAUAAUUUUAUACACAUCCAUCCCUCAAUCUACACAGGAGCAUGGUAGCACACCCAGCUGUAGGAUUGUGGUUUGAUCCCCAUCGCCGGCUGUAAGGAGAUUGUACUUUCUCUCGUAGGCACACGUGUUUCCUCCAGAUGCUCCAGUUUCCACCCAGACAUAAGCCAGGGUUAGUCAGCUGUGGACAUGCAAUGAUGGUGCCAGAUGCAUGUCCCAGCACAAUUCUUGCUGACGAUUUGACACAAAUGACAGAUUUCACUGCAUUUUUUGAUGUACGUGUGACAAAUAAAACUCAUCCAUAUCUUUAUCUUUCAAGGAAAAAGUUCCAGCCUAUCUGUCUCUCCCUAUAACUGUCUAUUUAGUCCUGCAACAACCUUGUAAAUUUGUUCUACACUCUUUCCAGCUUAAAAAUCCAUUGUCUCUUCAUAAUUCAGUCCCUUGUGUCCUGCCCUUUGAUGUCAUCUAUAUGCAUCUGAUUUGAGUCAGAUGUAUACUCUGACUGGAUAUUUGAAUUUUCAUUCUGUCUGGCUGAAUUUGCUAGUAGAACCUCAUGUAUUCUCUGAGCACAAGUCCAUAGGACACAGGAGCAGGUUUAGGCCAUUCAGUCCAUUGAGUCUGCUCCACCAUCCAUUCAUGGCUGAGUUAUUAUCCCUUUCACCCCCUUUCUCCUGCCUUCUCCCCAUUACAUUUGGUGUUUUUACUAAUCAGAACCUAUCAACCUCUGCUUUUAAUAUACCAAUUGAUUUGGCCUCCACAACUGCCUGUGGUGAUGAAUUCCAGUUUCACUGCCUCUGACUGAAGCAAUUCUUUUUAUAUUUGUUCUAAAAGGAUGUCAUUCUAUUCUGAGGCCGUGCCCUCUGAUCAUAGACUCCCCACUAUCAGUACCAAUGUCAGUGUAGCAGCUUAUGAAUUACCUUUGUCUGUCUCAAAAUGGGUCUAGAAGGGGCUAGAGCAGGGAUGCAAAGUAUAAUUAUUUAGGGGCUGUUUGGGUUUGGAUUCCCUUUGAUUGGGUUGGGCUUCAGUAGGGUCUCCAUAUUAUACCCAAGCUGAACCCAAAGGUUACGUGUUCAAGCACCACUUCAGCAAACUUCCUCACCCUUUGUCGCGGUACACAGGGAAUGGUGCAUACUCGGGGGUGUUUUCUGGGCAUUAAACAUGAGAUAUAGUAGCUAAAUUAGGCUCCUGCAGAUUUAUCAUUUCUAAACCUUAUUCUCGCAUCCCUGUAACCCUUAAUCCCCUUACCAGUCAAGAAUCUUAUCAAUUUCUGCCUUAAAUACACCCAAUAACUUGGCCUCCAUGGCUCUCUGUGUGUAAUGAACUCCUUAGAUACACCACCCUCUGACCUGAGCUGUUCCUAAAACACUGAGUGUGUGCCUUUGGUUUCCCGUACCUCCUCUCUCUGCUGCAGUAGAGGAAUUUGAAGAAAUCUGUAGCUGAAGAAGUUCCUCCUCAUCUCAGUUUUAAAUGGUUGUCCCUUUAUUCUGAGGCUGUGCCUUUGGACACUAGACUCUCCCACUAAUGGAGAUAUCAUCUUUAUAUCCACUCUAUCUACGUCCUUCAGUAUUUAUUAGGUUUCAAUGAGAUCCCACUUUGUUCUUCUGAACUCCUCUGGGUACAGGCCCGAGUCAUCAAACACUACUUAUGUGACUUAUGUGUUAAGCAUACAGGAACAUUAACAUUAUACAUCAACCCAAAAAAAUCUCAGAAAGGAGCAAAAAUAGACCAGGCCACCCUUCAAGAAUGAACUGCCUUCAAUGUGAUCAUGGUUGAUCUGCCCAGUACUCAAAUCUUUAUCUGGAAUGCGAAGCUGAAAAUCUGCUGUUAUUCUUCAGUGGAUCUCAAGACACAUCAAAGAGGAGAGACUCUCCACCAAAUCUAGCCUCAGUCAAUAGUAUACAGUACAAGCAGAUUAGAGUCAUUAUCACACACUGUGGAAAUUCCGUAUUUAUUUUAUUUAUUUCUUGAGAUACAGCAAAGAAUAGGCCCUUCUGGUCGCUUAAGCCAUGGUAAUCUCCCAAUUUAACCCUAGCCUAAUCACAGGGCAAUUUCCAAAGACCAAUUAACCUAUCAAUUGGCAGGACUUUGGAUUCUGGGAGGAAACCAGAGUACCUGGAAGGAACCCCCAGAGUCACAGGGAGAACAUGCAAACUCUUUACAAGCAGCAGGAGGAACUGAACCUGGGUCCCUGGUACUGUAAAGCAUUGUGCUCACCACUACAUUACCAUGCUGCCUCAUGCAUGAGUAGCUUGACUGAUUUCCUCUACUGCACCAGUACUAUCAACAGGGAGGAGGCACAAGAACCUACACUCAACAUUUUAGGAACAGCUUCUUCACCUCUGCCAUCAGCUUUCUGAAUGGACAAUAAACCCAUAUACACUACCUCUCUAUUUUUGCUUUCUUUUUGCACUAUUAAUAUCUAUUUCUUAUUGUAAUUUAUAGUAUAUUUUGUGUAUUGCAACUUACUGCUGCUGCAAAACAACAAAUUUUACAAUAUACACGCAGUGGUCACUUUACUAACUAUGCCUGUAAUAUAAAUAUCAUUAAUAUAAAUAUCUAAUCAUCCAAUCAUGUGGCAACAACUCAAUGCAAAUAAGCACGCACACAUGGUCAAGAGGUUCAGUUGCUAUUCAGACCAAACGACAGAAUGGGGAAGAAAUGUGAUCUAAGUAACUUUGACCAUGGAAUGAAUGAGUACUGGUGCCAGAUUUGAGUAUCUUAGAAAUGGCUGAUCUCCUGGGCUUUUCACGUAAAACAAUCUCUAGAGUUUACAAGAGAAUCCUGAGAAAAAAAACAAAAACAUCUAGUGAGUGGGAGCUCUGUGGGUGAAAGUACCUUGUUAAUGAAAGAGGUCAGAGGAGAAUGGCCAGACCAAUUCAAGCUGACAAAAGGCAGCAAGUGGUGCCUAAUAUAGUGGCCACUGAGUGUAUAUUUCUUGUUGUAAUUUAUCAUGUUUCAUGUCUUGUACUGCACUGCUGCUGCAAAACAACAAAUUUCAUGAUAUACAUCAGUGAUGUUAGACCUGAUUCUGAUACAAUUCAGUUUAAAAAGUAGUAUAUCUGUUGUGAAAAGACUAACAACACCUGACAAUUGUAAAAACAAAUCUUACGUAAAUGUAGUGCUCUCUUUUAAUAAUAAGUUAUGCUCUGGCUCCCUCAGAGCAGCAAGGUUUCAAUACUCUACACAGUAGUGGGAUUGAAUUUGUAGUGGGAUAAGCAUUUCAAAGAGCAGAUGCCUUUAAAUAUACAUGCAUCUUAAAGAUAGUUCUUCAACAUCUUCACACUGUUCAACUGAUGUCUGUUAUUUCAAGUGCUCAUAAUUAAACCUCAUGUCUGGACAUAAAUGCCAGAGUAAUCAAAAGAAGAGUAUUUUAAUGUAAGAUAGUUAUGACCAGAUUUAACUCAUUUGCUUCCGUAAAAAUAUUUAAAAAUCUUCCCCCCUUAUCAAGAUAUUUCUUUCCAGCACUGCAUAAACUUCUAUAGAUGUACAGUGACAAGACUGGUUAUAUGGAAUGGCAAAGUCCAUUAAGCACAUUUAUAUGCGGCCCAUAAAAAGCAGCAUCUGUCAUUAAGAACCCCCACCAUCCAGACCAUGCUCUCGUCUCACUACUACCAUCAGGAAGGAGGUACAGCAGCCUUGGGUCCCACACCAUCAGGAGGUUAUUACCCUACAACUACCAGGCUCCUGAUAAGUAAUUUAUUAUCAUAAUUUGAUUUUUUUGCAUUUGCACAGUUUGUCUUCUUUUGGACAUUGAAUGUUUAUUAACCUUUGUCUGCAGUUUGACAUCGAUUCAAUUGCAGUGUUUUGUUCUACUGUAAAUGCCUGCAAGAAAUGAACCUCAGCAUAGUAUUUGGUGACACAUGCAUACUUUGAAUCAAUGUGUAAAAGACAAUCUGUGAAAAUGCAAAAUAAUAUUUAGUAAUAAAUAAUACUGAGAACAUAAGUUGUAGAGUCCAUGAAAGUGACACUAUUGGUUACAGAAUUAGUUCAGUGUUGAGGUGCCUGAAGUUAUCCAUACUUGUUCAGCAGCCUGAUAGCCUGGACAUUGGCCGUUCCAUAUCAGUCUUAUCAGGCUUCAUGGUGGUGUGGGACUUAAAGGGUCCUGAAACUCUUUCCUGACCACAGCAGUGAGAAGAGAGCAUGCCCUGGACGGUCUGCGUCCUUGAUGAUGGUGCUGUUUUGUUGUGGCAGUGCUUCAGUGAUUUCUGAAACACAAUCACUGGUCCAGACUCCACACGUGAAGCCUAACAACAUUAGGUUUUAACCAUUUCUCUGAGUGACCUUCCUAAAUUAGAAUUUUUUUGUAAGUGUUUACCCACAUGCUCUUAUCUGGUCUGCUAGCUAAGAAUAACUAGCCCAGAACACAGCAGAGUAGAUCUCCCUCUUCUGUGAAACUGCUCAACUCACCUGCAGCAUUUACUGGUCAUAACAAGAGAUGGCUGGAUUUUUGAUUCACUUUUCAAAUGUCUCACUGAUCAGGCUAAUGAAUUUUUAUACCAUAACGAAGGAAACCACUGCUGAAGCAAGAUUUCUAUUCUAUCAGGAGCAUUCAAGUAUAUUUAUUUCAUUACACAACAGGUUCAGAAAUUGAAUUUCAUUGCUUUUGGAGGGGCAGGUCCACAUUAUACACUCAGUGGACACUCUUAUUAAAGUGGCCACUGAGUGUACGUUUAUGGUCUUUGGCUGCUGUAGUUCAUCCACUUCAAGGUUUGACGUGUUGUGCUUUUAGAUUCUCUUCUGCACACCACUGUUGUAAUGAGUAGUUAUUUGAGUUACUCUGACCUUCCUGUCAGCUUGAAUCAGUCUGGCCAUUCUCAUUGACAAGCCAUUUUCACUCACAGAAGUGUCACUCACUGUAUCCUUCUAUAUUUUUCACAUAAUUCUCCGUAAACUCUAGGGAUUAUGAUGAGUGAAAAUCCCAGGAAUCAGCAGUUUCUGAGAUACUCAAACUACCCCAUCUGGUACCGACAGUCAUUCCACAGACAAAGUCACUUAGAUCACAUUUCUUCCCCAUUCUUACAUUUGGUCUGAACAACAAAUGAACUUCUUGACCACACUUAAAUGCUUUUAUGCAUUGAGUCAGUGCCACAUAAUUGGCAGAGUCAAUAUUUGUAUUAACAAGCUGGUGAGCAGGUAUACCUAAUAAAGUGGCCACUAUGUGUACAUCCGCGGAGGGAAACCCCGUGUCCCUUUGCCACUGCAUGCACCCUGCCAGAAGUACCUUCAUGAGCCUGGCACCUUACAGUGUUGAGCAAUGGUCCCACACCACUUCAUGGAGAAGCAGUGAGUUAGGGCAAGUUUCCUGACAACUGACUUCUACUCUUUACAGUACUGAGAUAUAAGGAUUCUCACGAGGAAAACCAUGUAAUUCAUUGUUUUUAAUACAUGGUUUGGCUGUUAAUA